UUACGUCUAUACCAUGUUGCAACACCGGUUCUGAUACGAUCACCGAAGUUAAGCAACAUUGAGCUUUCUCAGUAACAAGAUGGGUGUCGCUCCCGAAUACAUGGUGCUGUAA